rnacentral:rRNA from 1 species
UACAGAGGGGGCGAGCGUUGUUCGGAAUUACUGGGCGUAAAGGCGCGUAGGCGGCCUUCUAAGUCGAACGUGAAAUCCCCGGGCUCAACCCGGGAACUGCGUCCGAUACUGGGAGGCUUGAAUCCGGGAGAGGGAUGUGGAAUUCCAGGUGGUAGCGGUGGAAAUGCGUAGAUAUCUGGAGGAACACCAGUGGCGAAGGCGACUUCUGGUCUGUAACUGACGCUGAGGCGCGAAA